rnacentral:misc_RNA from 1 species
UACGUAGGGGGCAAGCGUUGUCCGGAAUUAUUGGGCGUAAAGCGCGCGCAGGCGGUUCUUUAAGUCUGAUGUGAAAGCCCACGGCUCAACCGUGGAGGGUCAUUGGAAACUGGGGAACUUGAGGACAGAAGAGGAGAGUGGAAUUCCACGUGUAGCGGUGAAAUGCGUAGAUAUGUGGAGGAACACCAGUGGCGAAGGCGACUCUCUGGUCUGUCUCUGACGCUGAGGUGCGAAAGCUCGGGUCACGAACCGG